ACCUCGGGAACUGAGGCCAAUACCGAAUACGGCUCUCACGCUUGAAUGCCGAGAGCCAGAAACGCUUCCGCGCCGUAGGAUGUGGCUGCGGCCGAUUAGGUAGACGGUGGGGUAACGGCCCACCGUGCCGAUAAUCGGUACAGGUGGUGACAGCCAGAGCCUGGAGACGGUAUCUGAGACAAGAUACCGGGCCCUACGGGGCGCAGCAGGCGCGAAACCUUUACACUGCACGACAGUGCGAUAAGGGGACUCCGAGUGCGAGGGCAUAGCGCCCUCGCUUUUCUCGAUCCUAGCACGGUCGAGGAACAAGGACUGGGCAAGACCGGUGCCAGCCGCCGCGGUAAUACCGGCAGUCCAAGUGAUGGCCAAUAUUAUUGGGCCUAAAGCGUCCGUAGCCUGCCGUGCAAGUCCAUCGGGAAAUCGGCUCGCUCAACGAGCCGGCGUCCGGUGGAAACUGUACGGCUUGGGGCCGGGAGACUCGACGGGUACGUCCGGGGUAGGAGUGAAAUCCUAUAAUCCUGGACGGACCACCAAUGGCGAAAGCACGUCGAGAGACCGGACCCGACGGUGAGGGACGAAAGCCAGGGUCUCGAACCGGAUUAGAUACCCGGGUAGUCCUGGCCGUAAACGAUGCCUGCUAGGUACGCCGCUCGCCACGAGCGCGCGGUGUGCCGCAGUGAAGACGAUAAGCAGGCCGCCUGGGAAGUACGUCCGCAAGGAUGAAACUUAAAGGAAUUGGCGGGGGAGCACCACAACCGGAGGAGCCUGCGGUUUAAUUGGACUCAACGCCGGACAUCUCACCGGUCCCGACAGUAGUGAUGACGGUCAGCUUGACGAGCUUACCCGUACGCUACUGAGAGGAGGUGCAUGGCCGCCGUCAGCUCGUACCGUGAGGCAUCCUGUUAAGUCAGGUAACGAGCGAGACCCGUGUCCGUAAUUGCCAGCGAUACCCCUGUGGUAGUCGGGUACAUUACGGAGACCGCCGACGCUAAGUCGGAGGAAGGAGCGGGCAACGGUAGGUCAGUAUGCCCCGAAUGGACCGGCCAACACGCGGGCUACAAUGGUCGAGACAAUGGGUCGCGAUACCGAGAGGUAGAGCUAAUCUCACAAACUCGGUCGUAGUUCGGAUUGAGGGCUGAAACUCGCCCUCAUGAAGCUGGAUUCGGUAGUAAUCGCGUGUCAGAAGCGCGCGGUGAAUACGUCCCUGCUCCUUGCACACACCGCCCGUCAAAUCACCCGAGUGAGAUCCGGAUGAGGCCAUCAUGCGAUGGUCAAA
rnacentral:rRNA from 1 species